GUUGAUUUAGGUUACAUCAAGGGUACUCCAAAUUAAAAAUAAUAGUUAUAAAUGAUCGAGUCCAUAUCUUUGAUUAAACCAAGUGGACCUUGAUUGAGGCUUAAAGGUUGAGCCCGAAUCAUUAGGCUGAUUAGAUCGCUAGGUGACUCGAGUUGAUCCAUGUUGUUAAGGUUAAUCAGUAUGACUAAUUUAGGUGCCCUGGAUCGACUUG
rnacentral:lncRNA from 1 species